CCUACGGGAGGCAGCAGUGAGGAAUAUUGGUCAAUGGACGAGAGUCUGAACCAGCCAAGUAGCGUGAAGGAUGACUGCCCUAUGGGUUGUAAACUUCUUUUAUAUGGGAAUAAAAUGUUCCACGUGUGGGAUUUUGUAUGUACCAUAUGAAUAAGGAUCGGCUAACUCCGUGCCAGCAGCCGCGGUAAUACGGAGUAUCCGAGCGUUAUCCGGAUUUAUUGGGUUUAAAGGGAGCGUAGGUGGAUUGUUAAGUCAGUUGUGAAAGUUUGCGGCUCAACCGUAAAAUUGUAGUUGAAACUGGCAGUCUUGAGUACAGUAGAGGUGGGCGGAAUUCGUGGUGUAGCGGUGAAAUGCUUAGAUAUCACGAAGAACUCCGAUUGCGAAGGCAGUUCACUGGACUGCAACUGACACUGAGGCUCGAAAGUGUGGGUAUCAAACAGGAUUAGAUACCCCUGUAGUC
rnacentral:rRNA from 1 species